GACGAACGCUGGCGGCGUGCUUAACACAUGCAAGUCGAACGGAAAGGCCCUGCUUUUGUGGGGUGCUCGAGUGGCGAACGGGUGAGUAACACGUGAGUAACCUGCCCUUGACUUUGGGAUAACUUCAGGAAACUGGGGCUAAUACCGGAUAGGAGCUCCUGCUGCAUGGUGGGGGUUGGAAAGUUUCGGCGGUUGGGGAUGGACUCGCGGCUUAUCAGCUUGUUGGUGGGGUAGUGGCUUACCAAGGCUUUGACGGGUAGCCGGCCUGAGAGGGUGACCGGCCACAUUGGGACUGAGAUACGGCCCAGACUCCUACGGGAGGCAGCGGUGGGGAAUAUUGCACAAUGGGCGGGAGCCUGAUGCAGCAACGCCGCGUGCGGGAUGAUGGCCUUCGGGUUGUAAACCGCUUUCGCCUGUGACGAAGCGUGAGUGACGGUAAUGGGUAAAGAAGCACCGGCUAACUACGUG
rnacentral:rRNA from 1 species